rnacentral:misc_RNA from 1 species
GGAAAUUUUGAGGGAAAAUCCAGCAAAUAGAAACAAGAAUCCCAAGAAGGAAUAACAGAAAAGAAAUCUGAGCAGAGGACAGCGAAGAGAAAUAGAAGAAAGGAAGAAGGUAGAUCAGAGAAGGAAGAAGAAGAAUGAUAGAGAGAAUAGCAGUUUCAAGAAAGAAGAACCUGGAAUAUAGGGCCUGCCAUGCACCGAGUUAUCACUGCAACCCUCCUUAGCAGAUUUGAAACAAUGCCCAAUUGAAAUCAA